CGAAUAUCUUGGAAUGGGCUAUUUACGAUCAUGAAGAAGCUGUCAUUCUCAAGCGACUGGUCUGUGCAGAUGGAAAUCGAAUGGAUAGUUAUGAUAUCGCAUUCACCUUAAAUUAUUUUUUGAGUCGCAAUGAUGUAGAAGUUGUCGAAGCGUUAGUUCAACUGAAUGUCGACAUGGAUUCAGCCUGGAUAGAUGCUCGGCAAUACGAAACAUUCUGUAAUGCUAGUGAUGGGUUGCCGAAACUUUUUGAGUCAAAGG